ACAAAAGUACCAAAGAAGAAUAUAGAAAAAGUACAUGGAGAUACCCUCCUUGAAGCCGAAGGAUCAACACUCACCUGCAGAAACCAUACAGAAAAUGUUCUGGGGAAAUGCAAACGUGGAUAGAAUUAGCAUCACAAGUAGAAACAUAUUCACCAACAGGAAGUCCUGGAACACAGCCAGUGCAACAGCAGUGAAGUUAUUCUUUGCUACAAUACUGCUCCACUGGACUAAACAAGUAUAAAAAAUGGAUGACAGCAGGAGGACACCUGGCCAGCUGUUGUAUGGUGAGCUGAACUGAGGAGAUCUCAAAUAGGGCAGGCUGAAGGAACAUGCCACAGACACAUUGAAGAACAAUUUCAAGUAAUGGAAGCAUGGCUGCAGAAGACUGGGAAAUAAUAUCAGGAGGAAGACUGACCCAAUGUGGAGCAAUUGGAGCAGCAAAGGUGUGCAGCCAGGUGAAGCUGCAGCAUUUCAGCUUGCAACAGCUUUUGUAAAGAGCAGUCCCUCUCCCAAUCAAAGAGCCCCAUCCACCUGUAUUAUCUGAGUAAACAUGGCAGAUUUCUUACCAUACGUUUUAGUAGUAUUUCAAUUUUUUAAAUAUAUUUUUAUGAAAAAAAUCUCAGUCAGUGCUAUGUUCAAAUAGUUUCAAGUUUCCAAAAGUUCUUGCAUAAUGACUAGUACCAUACACAAAUUAAACAUAUAGUAGGUUUGGAAGCAGGUGUGUCCAUACAGAAAAUAAUUGUGUUAAGGAACUUGCACAUAUCUGUUUUCCUUCACAGCUUUUCUGGAAGGUCAGUUAAUCUGUGGCAGUCGGGAUAUAGUGAAGUAGUUAAAAGCAGUUUUAGGAGUCAGGCCAUCCACGAGUUAAAAUCACGUCCACAGCAAUUAACACAAUUUUAGCCCUGGGCAAAUUGCACACCUCUCUUUCCUUCCAUUAGAAUAUUUAUAUAAAGAGGCACUCAUAGGGCUAUUGGAAGUAUAAUCUUCAGAAAAUGCUCAGCUCUGUGCCUGACUACAUAGUUAUUACCAGGGGACCUAUAUUUUUUCUGAAUAGUCCAUAUAAAAUAAACAAGAAUUCAGUCGUUCUCAUACACAAUAUUGGUGUUUCAAGGAAAUGUAUAGAAUCUGUGCAAAAUGGAGUGUGGGUUCUAUUCAAUAUUAUAGUACCUUUUUAUGUGAAAGGAAACUAAAUGAUAAUGAAAAAUAUUAGUUUCUGAAGGAAUACUUUAAGAAGUGGAUAAAAUACAUUUAUGAAUUAUAUUUGAAACUGACUUUCAAUUGAACUGUAUGCGGUCUUUGCAUUUUCCAUUUUUAUCUGUCUGUUUACUAUCAUAGUGCCUGAGAGAAUGACUCAAUAGCUAAGUGGUUGUAGAAUGCAUGAAUGUAGUGUGCACUUAAAUCAACUCCAGAGCCUUGAUUUAGUUGCUAAUACACAUUGCUUAUUUUUCAUAAAUCUUUAGUAGGAAAUGAUGUCUUCUUGCCUUCAAAUAUCAAAAGAUGUGUUGUUAUAAUGAGAUGAACAAACUUUUUUUGGCCCCGGAUAAUUAAAGAAAACUUAGCCUUAUUUUUAAAUUAUGUAUCUGAAGCACAGUACUAUUUAAAAUAAUCAAAUUAUUCCCACUUUUUUCUUUACUUUGGGUGGAAUAUAACUAUAGUAUUUUGUUACCAUUUAUCUCUUUCAGCAAUUUUCUUUAUGUCCUUGAAAGAUCCAUCUUUGAUCAGAUCAAAUUAUUUCCAUUUUUAUUUCUUUGUAUUUGUAUUAUUAAAAUAUCUAAUUACCUUAUUCAUAUUUAUUAUUUAGAUAUUAUAUAAUGUAUAAUUUUUAAUUUUUAACAUUAACAUAACAAUGUCUAUGGCCCCUUAGCCGCUAUUUAUAAAUUUUCAUAAUUUUUACAUAAAUACCACUGAAAUUUAAAACCUGAUUCAAGUAGAUGAUUAGAAUAAUGAUCUCUCUCUGCUAGACAGUAACUUUUUAUAGAGCUAUAUUUUGAGUUGUACCUCUUGUUGUAUAAUACACCUUCCAUCUGAUGUUUAGAAAC
rnacentral:lncRNA from 1 species